AUAGCUUCUCGGCCUUUGGCUAAGAUCAAGUGCAGUAUCUGUUUUUAUCAGUUUAAUAUUUGAUAUGUCCUCUAUCCGAGGACAAUAUAUUAAAUGGAUUUUUGGAACUAGGAGAUGGAGCUUGCUCCAUCCACUCUGUGCAUCGACCUGGUAUUGCAGUACUUCCAGGAAUGGUGCACCCCCU